rnacentral:rRNA from 1 species
AUUGAACGCUGGCGGCAUGCCUUACACAUGCAAGUCGAACGGCAGCACGGGGCAACCUGGUGGCGAGUGGCGAACGGGUGAGUAAUGCAUCGGAACGUGCCAUUGAGUGGGGGAUAACGUAGCGAAAGUUGCGCUAAUACCGCAUAUUCUGUGAGCAGGAAAGCAGGGGACCGCAAGGCCUUGCGCUCUUUGAGCGGCCGAUGUCAGAUUAGCUAGUUGGUGAGGUAACGGCUUACCAAGGCGACGAUCUGUAGCGGGUCUGAGAGGAUGAUCCGCCACACUGGAACUGAGACACGGUCCAGACUCUACGGAGGCAGCAGUGGGGAAUUUUGGACAAUGGGCGCAAGCCUGAUCCAGCCAUGCCGCGUGAGUGAAGAAGGCCUCGG